GUUUAAGCCGCCGCGGUAAUACAGAGGGGGCCAGCGUUAUUCGGAAUUAUUGGGCGUAAAGGGCGCGUAGGCGGCCACGCGUGUCUUCCGUGAAAUCCCUCGGCUCAACCGAGGACGUGCGGAAGAAACUGCGAGGCUCGAGUCCAGAAGAGGGGGGCGGAAUUCCCAGUGUAGCGGUGAAAUGCGUAGAUAUUGGGAGGAACACCGGUGGCGAAGGCGGCCCCCUGGGCUGGUACUGACGCUGAUGCGCGAAAGCGUGGGUAGCAAACGGGAUUAGAUACCCGGGUAGUCC
rnacentral:rRNA from 1 species